GCCUUACAGAACAGGCCUGGGCUACUGACCUUGCUCUAACUAAGCCUCUUCCCUGAUUAAAAGAUGGCAGCAGAAGGGCAGUCUGACAUAACAGUGUCUGACACCAAAGUGUGGGUGAAGCAGAGAUGUCACUGAAUUCCUCCAUGUUGAAUGUUUAUGGAGACCAAUCAGAGGAUUUUAGCACAAAAUGAAGUUCCUUUGGCUGGAAUUCAGCAGCUCCCUUUGUCAUCGUUGACCAUGAAUGGAUGAACUUCAUGUAGAUGAUGCCCAUUUCCCAUCUUUGAAUCAAACAUUAAUACCAUUUGACAGUAAUAAAUAACAUUUAUCACAAUAGGGAUCUACUAAUGAUUUUCCCACUAAGCUGGCUCAUCAGAACCUAUCAGCUGACAACUGCAUAAAUGAGAUUAGCAUAACAGCUGCCUAUGACAAAUGUAUCUAAAUCAUUUUAAUGCCAGCUAGCUCUUUGAUCUCCCUAUCACGUUGUUGCCAAAACUAAAUCCAUUUCUUCAAGAUACAUGUUGUUUAUUACAGAUACAUGUGUAUAUUCCACACCAUUAUGUACUCCAGAGAUUUCAGUAAUUAAAAGAAUUAAAAAUACUGAUUGGAUACUGCCACUAUAAUGUAAACUUGCAACUCUGCACUUCAGAACAGCAUUCCACUGCCUACUUAGUCCCCUCCUCCUUCUCCAGAUUGCAGAAUUCAGUGUUUAAUAGCUGCAUGUUUCUCUGACACAAAAUACAUGUUUUAACGUAAAUACAUGUAUUAACUU